UACGGAGGGUGCAAGCGUUAUCCGGAUUCACUGGGUUUAAAGGGUGCGUAGGUGGGCAGGUAAGUCAGUGGUGAAAUCCCCGAGCUUAACUUGGGAACUGCCGUUGAUACUAUUUGUCUUGAAUGCCGUAGAGGUAAGCGGAAUAUGUCAUGUAGCGGUGAAAUGCUUAGAUAUGACAUAGAACACCAAUUGCGAAGGCAGCUUACUAUGCGGAUAUUGACACUGAGCCACGAAAGCGUGGGUAGCAAACAGG
rnacentral:rRNA from 1 species